ACGUAGGUAGUAUUGUCAAUGGGUAGUAAUUAAACAAUGAGUUUUUUUUAUUUGAAGAGCUAUCUCAUUAUCCCGUUGCUUAGUUAUUAAUUAUGAAGUUUGAUGUUAUGGCCAAAAAAGCUUCUGUGCCUGGACUUUGAUGACAUUUUAAUUCUUGUUGGCAAAAGACUAGUUUUUCUAAAGAUUUUAGGUACUGCGUUCGUAUAAAUUAAUAAUGCUAAAGCUAGACCAAAAGGACUUACAAGUGUUGCCCGCAUCAAAUAAAAAAAUUGCAAUAUUAUAAUAUUUUCCUGCAGCAAAUAUGUAUAUCUAUCUAGGAUUAAGCAGGAAAAAACAAUUAUAAAUUUAAUUUCAUUAAAACUAUUUUUACGACUCAA